CUUUCCAUGGGUGGUCUCUUGGGUUCCCAUCCUUAAGGCCACAAAGGCAGCUGCUUCCCUGAGAAACAGAGUUUUGAAAGCCAACUAGGUAGCGCUGCAACACUCUACUGGCCCCUCUGGUUACCCUUCUCGUUGUGUACCUGCCACAUUCUCCAGGAGGAACAUAGAUGGAGAAAAAUGGAACCAGGAACACUAAACUAAUCAUGUCUGAUCUGAAAAAUUGGGACUGUUUUUAUACCCUAUGUAACUAAGCCUUUGGGGAAAUUUAAAAGUUUACCAACUAGUAAGAAGUUAGGAAACCUUAGCGAUAACAAAGGGGUUCGUUUAAAAAUUGGUCUUUGAUUUGGGUCUUUGAGACAAUAAUUUUGUAGUAUUUAAGCUUUUCAAUGGUAAGGUGGUUUCCCCUUACUUCGAUGGAGCUAUACACAGCAGAAUUGUAUUAAAGCUUCAGCUGGUGCUCGGAAUGGUUUCGCCUUGCCACAUGUGAGUGAGCUUGAGGCCCCUCUCUUCGUGUUGUGCAGGAGACUUCUCUGUUUGCUCCUCUAGCGUUCAACCAGGCUUCACAUGGAAAAUAAAAACCAUGCCUUAUAUUCAGGCACUGAGGCCAUGCAUCCUGCCUGAGCCUUUGUGCUCAUGCGUAUGUGAUAAUGACUCCUAAAAAACAGACAACUCACCUACAAAUGUUUAAGGACCACCUGAAGCACAGCUCCAAGUCACAGGCAGGAUGAUAACGCACCAGCGUCAUGGGCAAUUGAGAUGGGUGACUGGGCUCUCACCUGGGCUUUCCAUUUGGAGGACAUUUACACGUCAGAAGAUUAGCGCAGUGUCUGCAAAUGACAUUGCCUUCUGUGGCUUAGUGCAUUCAUAAGCCACAGGUAAUUGAACGUUCUUUUACUGAACAGGUAUCUUUCUAGAUUGUAUUAAGCAAUAAUUUGUUCCGGUAUUGUUUCCUCAAAGCAAUUGCUUCCUGUGGCAACUGUAUUGUACUGCGAGGCAUUCGGAACAGAAUGCAGGGGUAAGCACAAUUUGGGGACACUAUGGGAAAAGACCGAGAAUGGAAUUCAGAACACAAAGGGACAGGAAGCCAUACAUCAUCGCACAAAGUAACAUUAUGACGUGGUGGCCUUAGAAGGGACCUCCACAGUGCUGUAAGCUGUAGCCAAAAAUACAGCAAGAGCUUGAACUUAGAAAUUGACUCCGAGCCUGCCUUGAAUGGCCCCUGGACACCUUGGCCUUUGUUUAUGUCAGUCUUUGUUUUGCUCGGACAGUACCAGGAACCUCACAUUUUCCUAUUCUGAGUAUAUUUCUGUAUUCAUUGUCCUCGCGAUGCCGUUACAGCUACUAGUUGACAACUUGGCCUCAUGGAUAAAUGAUUCUCUAUUGACUAUCUUCCUUGUCUUUUUCUCUGCUUAUUAAGUUGAAUUCAAUUCUAUUGUUUUUCUGGCCAACUCCGUACAAAACGACCCCCUUUAGAAACUACAAGAGAACUGAAUGAACUUGGUCUAGGCAACUAGGCUGACUUUGGUGGUGAGCAGGAAUAUUCCAUAGGACAGGAGUCACACUGAUUUGGUUGAGACAGAGUUCCUGGGUCCCGUCCCAGCUCUUCUGAAAGCUUGCUGUGUGACUUUUAGGGACAUUCACUGGACAUCAAAAGCUCAUGAAUGUGGAAAAUGCUUUCUUGGAGGUGUUUUUGGCGAUAUGACACAUCUGCUUGAACUGAUGCUUGACAUUUUGUCUUCUCGAAGGCUUUCUGAUGUGCUUACUGAGAAAUGGCGUCGGCAGGGUGGACCUCCGGAAAGCCUCUCUCCUUGGGGCCACCCCUUUCCGCAGUGCCAGUCUCAAGGAAACAUUUCUGAGUGACUCACAUGUGACUUCUGGUUUUCAUCCAUGGUUGAACAUGAGCUUCUCUUACUUCUUGUUGGAUAUAAGCUGAUUGAUUUCACCUGUGAAGUCAUAACUAAAUAUCCCUUGUUGGAUUCCGUGUAAGCAAGCUUUAACUCUCCUAUCCAGUAGCGUCAGUGUGUCUUGGGGCUAAACAGCUGAGCCCUUGACACUUUAUGUCCCUGACCAUGCCCCUUAUUUUCUAUUCCAGGUUCUUGCCUAAAAAAUAAAAAAAAUAC